GCACUGUUUGGGAAACGAGCGAAAAAGCUCAGCAUGGAAAGCUCGAGAACCGAGAACUGUCAGCGGUACACAAACAGAAAACAAAGCGAAGGUGUAUAGCAGAAUAGCGGAGAAAUUAUUAGAUUAUUUGGAAAGUAUAGUAGAAUAGUUAGUAGAGAUUGAAAUUGAUUUGAUUAGAUAGGGAUUAUUGAGUGACUGGCACAGAUUGUCAGCCGAAGCAUUGCCGUCACGUAUUUGAAUUCAAAGAUAGAAGACCGAAAAAUUUUAAAGCUGCUUCGCAACCACAAAAAGAGUUUUUAACUCGCACUGCGAUCAGCUCGGAAAAUCGGCCAUUGUUCUCG